rnacentral:rRNA from 1 species
AUUGAUCUCUGUCGUCAGGCUUAACACAUGCAAGUCGAGCGUGCGGCUGACGGGUGAGUAAUGUCUGGGAAACUGCCUGAUGGAGGGGGAUAACUACUGGAAACGGUAGUUAAUACCGCAUACCAUCAGCUGUGCCCAGAUGGGAUUGGCUAGUAGGUGGGGUAAUGGCUCACCUAGGCGACGAUCCCUAGCUGGUCUGAGAGGAGGACAAGCGACACUGGAACUGAGAAACGGUCCAGACUGCAAGGGUAAGCAGCAGUGGAGAAUAUUGCACAAGGGGCGCAAGACUAAUGCAGCCAUGCCUCGUGUGUGAAGAAGGACUUCGGGUUGUAAAGCACUUUCAGCGAGGAGGCGUUACUCGCAGAAGAAGCACCGGCUAACGCCGUGCCAGCAGCCGCGGUAAUUC